UGGAUGAAUUGUUUGUAGUGUGGCCCUUUCUUCAAUUUUCUAACAAUGCGGUUAAUCCGCAGCGUUUUGACUGAUGGAAGGCGAGUUUUAAAGCGAUUUUUUGUUUUGAGAUAUGGCCAUCGAGCAUUUUCUGCGGUUUUGCCUUGACUUUGUAGCUUUGAUGGUCCAUCAUGUUUAUGUAUCUUUGUACUACAUAUACGAGUAUGAGGUGUUUUUUACGGAAAAUUAAAUAUCACUUAUUUCUUUCUAUGUGUCUUGUCUUUACUAUAUGUUUGAAUAUAUCAGCUCACAAGCGAAUUCAGUAUUAGACCCUUUUUUAUGGAAUGUCGGGUAUGAUGGGCUGCUAAGAAUUCCACAACCAAAAAACCUUAAGCUAAUCGCAUACGCGGACGAUCUUGAGGAGGUAGCUGGAGCUAAAGAACUUGAUGACCUCCAAAAUAAAUGUGAUGAAUGCACAAAUGGUCUGCGCCAAUGGUUUUCUACCAUGAGUUUGGAACUGGCUCAACAGAAAACAAAAGUAUUGCUCAUAAGCACCAGGAAAAUUGAGAAAAAUAUAACUCUCACUAUAGGAGAGUGUGCAAUUACUUCAUAGCCACAAUUGAAGCAUUUAGGGGCAAUAUUAGACUCCAAACUGAAAUUCCAAGAGCACUUGCUCAAGGCAAAUAAGAUUUACCAUGCCUUAUUAAGAAUGAUGUCAUACAAAUUACCCGAUAGAGAUCUCUUUAUAUCCUUCGCUACUUUUUGUUGGUCUUAAGUUCUCAAAUGUUCAUUUUUUAAACGUCAUGGCAACUCUAAUAAUCUGUGUCAACUAUGGACAGCAUCAGCAAUAAGGGAAAAUGUAAACUAUGUCCCAACAGAUGUGCUACAAAAAGGAGAACUGAAAUAAAAUAAGUUUGCAAAACUUCAGAACUAGGCCAACGUGCAACAAAAUGUAACCAGGUACACCAAUACAUACAUAGGUAUGUUAGAUACAAGUUAGAUUUCUGUUAUGUAAGUGAAGUGAAAUGCAGUCAGAUGGGCAUUGUUUGCUAGGAUUACAGAAAAGUUGGACAAACUAUAUACAUACAUUCGUAUGUUUGUAUAUUAAUAAUGAAUAUGAGUAUAAUGAUGACAUUGAAGAAAAUUGUUUCACUGGAGCGAAAUCAAAAGAGCUUGCAAGUAAUAUCGUCUGAUCAAAUUUGGCCCGGACUGGAAAAAACUACAUUUUCACAUACUUAUUUAAACACAAAUAUGUAUUAUAGCCUUCAAAAUAAGUUUCUGAGUUAAUGCAAAGGUGGCAACACUUAAUCCAAUUUUCCAUAUUCUUAUUAUUUGUAAUACUCGGCUGAAUUUUAGUUUUAUCGGUUUUGACUCACUUGUGGAGAGACAUUUGCGAGAUUAAUGGACAGUUUCGACAUCUUAUUAAUAAACUCUGAUUUAUAACCAAAACAUUAACCAAACUUUUAAGCAAAACUUUAACCAAAAAAAAAACAUUAACCAAAAUGUGUUGAGGUGAUCCAAAAGAGAUGUUGAGAUCCUCUGCUAUCCCUUUAGUACCAACGCGAUGACUUUCAAGCACUGACUCUUUAACUUUUGCGAUGAACGACUUGCGUGAGGCAAGUUUUCGAUGACUCCACGACCUUCACUGAUUGCAUUGUGUCAUAAAUACAUAAAGAAAUAGUCCGGUUUAUAUUUGAUCAGAAGGUAUUUCGAAUUUUGAACUUCACUCAAUCGUACUGAACAUUUCUGGUUUAGAAACAUACCGCUUAUUAAUUCUUUAUCCAUAAUCAGAUGAAUCAGAAACAGCAUGAAUCAGGUCCAACUUAAAGAUACCUGAGAAUGAUGCAAGCACCGCACUAACAAAAUUAUUCGCAAAUCAAUAAGUAAUUAUAGCGUGCAAAACACAAAUUGCACUAGCGGUCACACAAUUUAGUCAAAAUGUGACUAAAAAAUCUAUUGCAAAGCCGCUUCAAGGAGAAUCGUGAAUAAAUUUGCAAUUGUCUGCGCAUUAGAGACACAGUAAUUGACAAUUUGCGACAACGCUAUAAAUAAUAAUAACAAAUAAUUAAAACAAAUAAGCUAAAAAAUAAUCAAAUUCAACCGCACAAUAGCCAAAGACGCUUUCUACAUUACGCUGAGUACCGUAAUGAGUACGCGCUGAAUUAUGACUAACAGCGAGAAUAAAAUAUUGUUGAAAAACGAAAAUAAAAAACAAUUUGUAUUUAACCCAUUUUUAGUUUGAACAAUCCGCCGUUACACCCGCUGAUGUCAUGUGCUCAUGGAGCCGUGAUGUCUCUGCAGUCACAGCGUACCGCUGCAGACUCAUAAGUGAUGUCAGUCCAACAUGAAGCACGAACGCGCCGGUAAUGACUAAAGGUAUAGAGGUGAAAAAGUACACGUGAUGACAUAUCGCAGGCGGACGACGGAGAAAUACAAACAUAUGGCGGUACAGAGUAUUGUAAAGCGUUGCUGGCGAAAUUAGAAAGUGGGACAAGAGUUAAAUUGAAAAAUUUCUUAGAUAUGACAGUAGCGCAGUUUGGUACUAAUGCGGAGAACAUAAAUCUAUAAAACAAAUCUAAAAAAUAAAUUAUGCAAAAUUUAUUGCGCAACCUAAAUCCCACAACUGCCUCAGCCAGCAAUUACUUAAACUAAAUAAUUUGCACUUUAACUCGCGCAUUUAAGCGCUAAGUGUUGUUGUUUUUAGCGGGACCGAUAACCUUUUGCAACGAUUUUCAAUUUAAUUUACAUUUUUAUUGAAUCAAUGAAGAAUUGCAGAAAAAUGGCGCAGCCCGGAGAACACUGAUCUGUCAACAACACAUUGCUUAUGUAUACAUGUGUGUGUGAGUGCGAGCAAAGGAGUUAAUGAACACGUAAAUGCGAAACGCAACGAAUAACAAUGCAGAUAUGCAGAGCAAAAAAAGAGCGCAUGAAAUGAAGAGUCCAUCAAAUUUAUGCAAUAUUUAUUGCAGAGCAAUAUAAUGUGGCAGACGGUGCGCAGGAGAGAUUGUGGCAGUAGCGCCACGACAAGUGUGGAGCAAUAACAGUAAACAGUAAAAAUUAACAAGUUUAUAAAUAAAUGCAUUUGACCUUUGA